UGGGGAAUAUUGGGCAAUGGACGCAAGUCUGACCCAGCGACGCCGCGUGAAGGACGAAGGCAUUCGUGUUGUAAACUUCUUUGGAGAGGGACGAAAAUGACGGUACCUCUCGAACAAGCCACGGCUAACUACGUGCCAGCAGCCGCGGUAAUACGUAGGUGGCAAGCGUUAUCCGGAAUUACUGGGUGUAAAGGGCGCGCAGGCGGCCCUGCAAGUCGGAUGUGAAAGAUCAAGGCUCAACCUUGACAGGUCAUUCGAAACUGUAGGACUUGAGUGUCAGAGGGGAAAGUGGAAUUCCUAGUGGAGCGGUAAAAUGCGCAGAUAUUAGGAGGAACACCGGUGGCGAAGGCGACUUUCUGGCUGACAACUGACGCUGAGGCGCGAAAGCGUGGGGAGCAAACAGG
rnacentral:rRNA from 1 species